rnacentral:rRNA from 1 species
CCGACACAGGUGGUCAGGUAGAGAAUACCAAGGCGCUUGAGAGAACUCGGGUGAAGGAACUAGGCAAAAUGGUGCCGUAACUUCGGGAGAAGGCACGCUGACACGUAGGUGAAGUGAUUUACUCAUGGAGCUGAAGUCAGUCGAAGAUACCAGCUGGCUGCAACUGUUUAUUAAAAACACAGCACUGUGCAAACACGAAAGUGGACGUAUACGGUGUGACGCCUGCCCGGUGCCGGAAGGUUAAUUGAUGGGGUCAGCGUAAGCGAAGCUCCUGAUCGAAGCCCCGGUAAACGGCGGCCGUAACUAUAACGGUCCUAAGGUAGCGAAAUUCCUUGUCGGGUAAGUUCCGACCUGCACGAAUGGCGUAAUGAUGGCCAGGCUGUCUCCACCCGAGACUCAGUGAAAUUGAACUCGCUGUGAAGAUGCAGUGUACCCGCGGCAAGACGGAAAGACCCCGUGAACCUUUACUAUAGCUUGACACUGAACAUUGAGCCUUGAUGUGUAGGAUAGGUGGGAGGCUUUGAAGUGUGGACGCCAGUCUGCAUGGAGCCGACCUUGAAAUACCACCCUUUAAUGUUUGAUGUUCUAACGUGGACCCGUAAUCCGGGUUGCGGACAGUGUCUGGUGGGUAGUUUGACUGGGGCGGUCUCCUCCUAAAGAGUAACGGAGGAGCACGAAGGUUGGCUAAUCCUGGUCGGACAUCAGGAGGUUAGUGCAAUGGCAUAAGCCAGCUUGACUGCGAGCGUGACGGCGCGAGCAGGUGCGAAAGCAGGUCAUAGUGAUCCGGUGGUUCUGAAUGGAAGGGCCAUCGCUCAACGGAUAAAAGGUACUCCGGGGAUAACAGGCUGAUACCGCCCAAGAGUUCAUAUCGACGGCGGUGUUUGGCACCUCGAUGUCGGCUCAUCACAUCCUGGGGCUGAAGUAGGUCCCAAGGGUAUGGCUGUUCGCCAUUUAAAGUGGUACGCGAGCUGGGUUUAGAACGUCGUGAGACAGUUCGGUCCCUAUCUGCCGUGGGCGCUGGAGAACUGAGGGGGGCUGCUCCUAGUACGAGAGGACCGGAGUGGACGCAUCACUGGUGUUCGGGUUGUCAUGCCAAUGGCACUGCCCGGUAGCUAAAUGCGGAAGAGAUAAGUGCUGAAAGCAUCUAAGCACGAAACUUGCCCCGAGAUGAGUUCUCCCUGAGACUUAGAGUCUCCUGAAGGAACGUUGAAGACGACGACGUUGAUAGGCCGGGUGUGUAAGCGCAGCGAUGCGUUGAGCUAACCGGUACUAAUGAACCGUGAGGCUUAACCUUACA